rnacentral:misc_RNA from 1 species
AGCAGCUGUUUCACCACUAAGCAUGACACAGUCUGUGCCAUCAAGGACAGCAUUGGCAACAUCUGUUGCUUCUGCGCGAGUUGGUCUUGGAGAUUUGAUCAUGGACUCCAACAUUUGUGUCGCUGUGACAACAGGUUUCCCUUGGAUGUUGCACUUGUAAAUCAUUACCUUUUGAGCCAAAAAGAUUUUUUCAAUUGGAAUUUCCAUUCCCAGGUCACCUCUGGCUACCAUAAAUGCAUCAGAGUUGGCAAGAAUGUCAUCAAAAUUUGCUACACCUUCCUGAUUUUCAACCUUAGACAUUAGAAGGAUGUUCUUUGCAUGUUCACCUAGCAGCUUCCGAACCUCCACAAGAUCUGAACCCUUACGAACAAAAGAUAACGCAAUCAUGUCGAUAUGAUUUGGAACACCCCAGUUUAAGAUGUCAUCCUUGUCUUUAUCUGUUAAUGUUGGGAGAUCCACAAUUACUCCAGGGAGAUUGACAUUCUUUCUUUCCCCAAGAAGAGCUGUGUUCUCACAGCGGCAUCUUACCAAACCUCUCUGUUUGUCACAAGACAAAACGGUGAAGGUGAUUGUGCCAUCUGCACAGAGGAUGACACUUUGUGGCUUUACAUCCUCUGCUAACUUUUUGUAGCUCAUGCAUAUCGUACUCUCAUCACCUUUAAUGCUGUAAUCAGUUGAGACUGUGAUCUCCUGACCUUGUUUAAGUUGAACAGGCUUACCAUCUUUUAAAAACCCUGUUCGAAUUUCAGGACCCUUGGUAUCAAGCAUAACGGCACAGAGAAUACCAGUAUUCUCCAUUGCCUGUCGGAGAUUAUCAAUAGUCUCCUGAUGAUAGUCAUGAGAUCCAUGAGAAAAGUUG